UACAGAGGUCCCAAGCGUUGUUCGGAUUCACUGGGCGUAAAGGGUGCGCAGGUGGGUUGGCAAGUUCGAUGUGAAAGCCCCGGGCUUAACCCGGGAAUGGCAUUGGAAACUGCUGAUCUGGAGGAUCGGAGGGGGGACUGGAAUUCUUGGUGUAGCAGUGAAAUGCGUAGAUAUCUGGAGGAAUACCGGUGGCGAAGGCGGCAUCCUGGACCGAGAUUGACACUGAUGAGCGAAAGCCAGGGGAGCAAACGGG
rnacentral:rRNA from 1 species